rnacentral:rRNA from 1 species
ACCAGACUCCUACGGGAGGCAGCAGUGGGGAAUAUUGCACAAUGGGCGAAAGCCUGAUGCAGCAACGCCGCGUGAAGGAAGAAGGGUUUCGGCUCGUAAACUUCUAUCAACAGGGACGAAAGAAAUGACGGUACCUGAAUAAGAAGCCCCGGCUAACUACGCGCCAGCAGCCGCGGUAAUACGUAGGGGGCAAGCGUUAUCCGGAAUUACUGGGUGUAAAGAGUUGCGUAGGUGGCAUAAUAAGUAGCUAGUGAAAGCUGGUGGCUCAACCAUUCAGACUAUUAGCUAAACUGUUAAGCUCGAGACCGUUAGGGGUAACUGGAAUUUCUAGUGUAGGAGUGAAAUCCGUAGAUAUUAGAAAGAACACCAAUAGCGUAGGCAGGUUACUGGGACGGUUCUGACACUAAGGCACGAAAGCGUAGGGAGCAAACGGGAUUAGAUACCCGAGUA